rnacentral:lncRNA from 1 species
GCUGCUCUGCCUCCCAGGUAAGAAGGGACAACUCUGGAAAUGUGCUCAGCCCAGUGGUCAGUGCUGCCUGGCUCUUCAGGGAAGUCUUCUUGAAAAAUGAUUAAUUAAGGAUACUUAUGUUUAUGUUUCCAAUGUCAGGGGCCAGAUGUGACAUCACGAUGACCCAGUCUCCAUCCUCCCUGUCUGCAUCUCCAGGAGACAGAGUCACCAUCACCUGCAGGGCCAGUCAGAAUAUUAACAGUUGGUUAGCUUGGUAUCAACAGAAGCCAGGGCAAGCUCCUAAGCUCCUGAUAUAUAAGGCAUCUAGUUUGGAAUCUGGGGUCCCCUCAAGGUUCAGUGGCAGUGGAUCUGGAACAGAUUACACUUUCACCAUCAGUAGUGUGGAGCCUGAAGAUGUUGCCACUUAUUACUGUCAACAAGAUAGCAGUUACCCUCUCACAGUGACUCAGGCCAUGACAAAAACCUC